UAUAUAUUUCCUCUUCUAUUCAUUACUUACAAUUUGCAAGAUCUGCAGAUAGGUGAGCAAAAAGCUAAGGUUUGGUAAGACAUUGAGCUAUGCAAAGCUGAAGAAAAUUGAUAUGGAAAUUCUUGUGAAUCUCGUUGGUGAUAAGGAAAGAUAUUUAAAAUCUCAUAUGGUGCUAAAAUUUUGGGAUUUUAGAGAAUUUUCUUUUCUGUACACCUUUCAUUCAAAGUUGAAUCUCUCUAUCUCACCAUGACUCCAGAUUGAGGAAGAUUGAUGGUGUUGGAAUUUUAUCAUUCAUAUCUAGAUCAGGUUAUUCUUGACAUCGUUUGAGGGGUAAGAAUCUACCUAAGUUCCUUUUCUUUUUCAAAUCAAGCUCUUUGAAUCAUAGAUUUAGGUAUGAAUUAAAAAAAAAAAAAGAAAAAAAAAAAAGAAAAAAGGUGAGACAAUUGUUAAUAAAAUAUAAGUUGGUUGAUUUUUUUUUUCUUUCCAUUUUCUCUUAUUGCAAUCUAUCUCCAAAUACAGUGUUAUUUCCUUGUUUGAAAUUUGCAUUCAUUCAACGAAAGCUAUGUUCGUAUAUGUUACAUUGACGGUAUAAAUAUGGGUGUAGUUGUGUCCCCUGGACCCAAUAAUACUAAAUCUAUACUCAAUAUUUUAUUGGAAAAUUUAUUAGAAAAUCUUAUUUGAAGUAUUUGUAUCCGAAUUAAUACCUAACAUGUUCUUGUAUUUUAAGUCAUAUUAUUUGAAUAUUUGAUUCAUUAAAUCUUUUUCAUAUUUAAGGUAUUUUUUGAACAAUUGGACACUUCUACAAAUAUUUUCAACUUUUAACAAUUUAGUGAUGUGAACAUUCAUAUUUGAUAGUAUGAAUAUUCACGGUAAAUCCACACGGUUAACAUUUAUGUGUUUUACCCUAUUAUUAUUAGGAAUAUUUUAAUAACUGUGUCAUUCAUAACACAUUAGUUUAUAAAAAAAUAAUUUAAACUAAAUAUAAGUUCAUGAAAAGGAAUUUGUGAAUAAAUACCUCAAUUUUAUUCAACAUUAUUUAAAUUUAUUUUAUGUAUGGACCUAAAAAGCACCUAUUGAAUCUCCAUUACAGGUUUGUGACAUAAAAUUAUUAUGAUUUAUGGUGGGAUAAAAUUAUGAUUUAUGUAACUAAAUUUUAGAAUGUUAUUAUAAAUUUGGGCGGAUUCCAGUAACAGUUCCUAUAGCUUGGGGCUCAUGUCAUUUUAUUAUUGAUUUUUCA